UACGUAGGGUGCGAGCGUUUGUCCGGAAUUAUUGGGCGUAAAGAGCUUGUAGGUGGUUUGUCGCGUCUGCUGUGAAAAUCCGAGGCUCAACCUCGGACUUGCAGUGGGUACGGGCAGACUAGAGUGUGGUAGGGAGACUGGAAUUCCUGGUGAUAGACGGUGAAAUGCGCAGAUAUCAGGAGGAACACCGAUGGCGAAGCAGGUCUCUGGGC
rnacentral:rRNA from 1 species